UGUCAUGUCUAAAACAGC
rnacentral:piRNA from 1 species